rnacentral:rRNA from 1 species
AACGAACGCUGGCGGCAUGCCUGACACAUGCAAGUCGAACGAGACCUUCGGGUCUAGUGGCGCACGGGUGCGUAACGCGUAGGAACCUGCCACUAGGUUCGGAAUAACUCCCCGAAAGGGGUGCUAAUACCGGAUAAUGUCUUCGGACCAAAGUUGUAUCGCCUUUGGAUGGGCCCGCGUUGGAUUAGCUAGUUGGUAGGGUAAAAGCCUACCAAGGCGACGAUCCAUAGCUGGUCUGAGAGGAUGAUCAGCCACACUGGGACUGAGACACGGCCCAGACUCCUACGGGAGGCAGCAGUGGGGAAUAUUGGACAAUGGGCGAAAGCCUGAUCCAGCAAUGCCGCGUGAGUGAUGAAGGCCUUAGGGUUGUAAAGCUCUUUUACCCGGGAUGAUAAUGACAGUACCGGGAGAAUAAGCUCCGGCUAACUCCGUG